rnacentral:rRNA from 1 species
UACGAAGGGGGCUAGCGUUGUUCGGAAUUACUGGGCGUAAAGCGUGCGCAGGCGGCUUCUCAAGUCAGGGGUGAAAGCCCAGAGCUCAACUCUGGAAUUGCCUUUGAGACUGAGUGGCUUGAGUACGAGAGAGGUGAGUGGAAUUCCCAGUGUAGAGGUGAAAUUCGUAGAUAUUCGCAAGAACACCAGUGGCGAAGGCGGCUCACUGGCCCGAUACUGACGCUGAGGCACGAAAGCGUGGGGAGCA